rnacentral:lncRNA from 1 species
UCCUAUUUGGAAGAGAUCGUUGUAGUUGCUGAUCCUCUUGUUAGUAUGGCCGUAAGGAAUGAGCAACAAUUGACUGUAACUGUGGAACGCCACGUAGGAGAAUAUUUUGUCGUGGAUGCUGUCGAUAUAUCGUGACAUGGUUCUUGUUUCUGUCUCAGAGAAUGCCUUUUCACCGGGGUAUAUUUCGCUGCAUGGAUUUCGGCUGGUACCACCCUCUAAAAUAUUGGUAGGAGCAACGUAACAGAAGCGUCAUUUUUCAGCAGCAAGUGCGAGAUACGAAUAACUAUAAUAAAGAAAUCUUUGAUCGUUACCUGCCCAGUGGAAAUUCCAGUUUCUGUUCGGAUCAGCUCCGUAACAGCCCCUCCCGGAAGGUCUCCUAGUCUUCCGCCAUAGACGAUUCUAAACAGUCAAUAAACAAUAUACUUCGCGGGUAUAGUCUUUUAUCAUCUACAUCGCGCAAUUAUCGAGCAUAACGGGCCGAUAGCAGAAUGAAAUAAUUCAAAGGAGACGUUCGACGAUCUUAUCGUAAGAAGUAUCGUUUAAAUAGCGAUUUACGUCAAAGUCGCGUCAAGCGUUUGUGAAUACCUACUUUAUCUUUUUCGUUGAUAAAGCAAAUAGUUUUGAUUGUGAAUGAAACGAACGUGUAAACGAAACCUGGAUUUCGUGUAAAAAGCGAGGAUGUUCGUGCAUUUAUGGAAAGUUCAUGGAAAAGAAACUGGAAAAAUGGGCACGAUCUGCGUGACGUACAAAAGUAUUAUACAAGAUCUUCAAGAUGUACCUAUUGUCCUUUUUUAGCGAUUAAACAUUGUUUGCGUUAUGAGAAAACUAUGAAAGCGUUCUUACCGUAGUAUGAGUGUACUCGUAGCCAUCAGGAUUGAAUACAGGGAAAAUAUACCAAUCGUACGACUCCGCCAUAUAUCUGACACGAGAGUCAUCGCUGAGGAUCAAUUCGUUCAGGACGAAUAUAGCGAGGCUUCGGAAUUUCCCAACGCGAUCGAUUCGCGACAAUGUUCCACCGAGAAAGUUGCGCUUUCUCGCGGUGACUUUGAACCGGAGACUAAUCGAUAUCGCUUUCUUUUCCGUCUGAAAUGAACUUGACGGUUUCGAGAUACAAGACAGGUGUGAGCGUCCCAAGUGAAUCCUCCCGCGACUUUAUAUACAACGGGGAGCAACAACGGCAGGUAAAAAUAUCCUGUACGUGAGAUAAGUGUAAACAACAAAGGAAAAAGAUACGGGCGACGCAUUUGCAUGCAGGAUGGACAAUGAGAAUUCUCGGGAGGUUGCAAACAAGCGGAUGCCUGUCGAUGGUCGAAGACCUCGAAGAUACCGUUUCAAAAUAUAGAUAAACUGAGGUUGUCGACAUCUACUUAAAGAAAGUGCUCCACACUUGAGACGAAAUAUCUUCAAUUACUUCUGUCAUUUCCCAAACCAGUUUGAAUAAUUUUUUAUUCAUAUUAAUCUGCAUAAUUCAUAUUGAUUCAGUUCGGUUGAGAUAUGAGAAUUAAACGUUAAAAUGUUAUUUCCUGCGAUUUCGUAGGGAUAUUAUUCUUUUUUUAUACUACGAUUUAAAAUAUUAAUCAAUAUUUUACUUACAAUUUAAAUUUAAGCUUAAGUACACAUGUAGUAUAUACAAUAAUAUAUAUAAUAAAUAAGUACGUGUGUAAUAUUAUAUUAAUUAAAGAAAAUGGGAGGAAAGAAAGAAACAGAGGAGGAAAGGGAAUUCAACACGAUUUAACCGGUUUAUUAUUUUAUUUUAUAAAUAUAUUAUCGUACACACUCGUUAGAUUAUAUCGUUUGAUAAAAUGUUGUCAAUGAAAUUAUUUUACUUCUUA